rnacentral:rRNA from 1 species
UACGUAGGGUGCAAGCGUUGUCCGGAAUUAUUGGGCGUAAAGAGCUCGUAGGCGGUCUGUCGCGUCGGCUGUGAAAUCCCGAGGCUCAACCUCGGGUCUGCAGUCGAUACGGGCAAACUAGAGUAUUGCAGGGGAGACUGGAAUUCCUGGUGUAGCGGUGAAAUGCGCAGAUAUCAGGAGGAACACCGGUGGCGAAGGCGGCCGGCUGGGGGUGACCUGACGCUGGAGGCGCGAAAGCGUGGGGAGCGAACCGG